AACAAACGCUGGCGGCGUGCCUAACACAUGCAAGUCGUACGAGAAAGGGUCCUUCGGGGCCUGAGUAAAGUGGCGCACGGGCGAGUAACGCGUGGAUAAUCUGCCCUUCAGUUGGGAAUAACUCAUCGAAAGGUGGGCUAAUACCGAAUAAUGCUGUGAGACCUCGGUUGAUCAGCCAAAGAGAGCCUCUUCUUGCAAGCCCUCGAUGAAGGAUGAGUCCGCGUACCAUUAGCUAGUUGGUAGGGUAAUGGCCUACCAAGGCGACGAUGGUUAGCUGGUCUGAGAGGAUGAUCAGCCACACUGGAACUGAGACACGGUCCAGACUCCUACGGGAGGCAGCAGUGAGGAAUCUUGCGCAAUGGGGGCAACCCUGACGCAGCAACGCCGCGUGAGUGAGGAAGGUCUUCGGAUCGUAAAGCUCUGUCGGAUGGAAAGAACCGCAUAGGGGUAAACAGCCCCUGUGUCUGACGGUACCAUCAAAGGAAGCACCGGCUAACUCCGUGCCAGCAGCCGCCGCAGUAA
rnacentral:rRNA from 1 species